rnacentral:rRNA from 1 species
UACAGAGGUCUCAAGCGUUGUUCGGAUUCAUUGGGCGUAAAGGGUGCGUAGGCGGCGCGGUAAGUCGGGUGUGAAAUCUUGGAGCUUAACUCCGAAACUGCAUUCGAUACUGCCGUGCUUGAGGACUGGAGAGGAGACUGGAAUUUACGGUGUAGCGGUGAAAUGCGUAGAUAUCGUAAGGAAGACCAGUGGCGAAGGCGGGUCUCGUGGACAGUUCCUGACGCUGAAGCACGAAGGCCCAGGGGGAGCAAAACGGG